rnacentral:rRNA from 1 species
GACGAACGCUGGCGGCGUGCUUAAUACAUGCAAGUCGAACGGAAAGGCCCUGCUUUUGUGGGGUGCUCGAGUGGCGAAGGGGGGAGUAACACGUGAGUAACAUGCCCUUGAAUUUGGGAUAACUUCAGGAAACUGGGGCGAAAACCGGAUAGGAGAUCCUGCUGCAUGGUGGGGGUUGGAAAGUUUCGGCGGUGGGGGAUGGACUCUGGGCUUAUCAGCUUGUUGGUGGGGUAGUGGGUUACCAAGGUUUUGAGGGGUAGCGGGCCGUGGAGGGUGCCGGGCGACAUUGGGACUGAGAUACGGCGCAGUCUCCUACGGGAGGCAGCAGUGGGGAAUAUUGCACAAUGGGCGGAAGCCUGAUGCAGCAACGCCGCGUGCGGGAUGACGGCCUUCGGGUUGUAAACCGCUUUCGAAUGAGACGAAGAGUGAGUGACGGUAAUGGGUAAAGAAGCACCGGCUAACUACGUG